rnacentral:rRNA from 1 species
AUACGUAGGUGACAAGCGUUAUCCGGAUUUACUGGGCGUAAAGGGCGUGUAGGCGGUCUUGCAAGUCAGAAGUGAAAUUCCUGAGCUCAACUCGGGCGCUGCUUCUGAAACUGCAGGACUUGAGUGCUGGAGGGGAUAGCGGAAUUCCUAGUGGAGCGGUAAAAUGCGCAGAUAUUAGGAAGAACACCGGUGGCGAAGGCGGCUAUCUGGACAGUAACUGACGCUGAGGCGCGAAAGCGUGGGGAGCAAACAGGAUUAGAUACCCGGGUAGUCCACGCCGUAAACGAUGAAUACUAGGUGUAGGGGGUAUCGACUCCCUCUGUGCCGCAGUUAACACAAUAAGUAUUCCGCCUGGGGAGUACGGCCGCAAGGUUGAAACUCAAAGGAAUUGGCGGGG